rnacentral:lncRNA from 1 species
UGAUGAGAUCCCAAAGAGGGGUCAAUGUUUAUAGUUAUGUUUAUGUUCAGUGCAUGCACAGGUUGAGUUUGGUGUAUGAGAGAAUGUAUGAAAGAAAAGUUUUAAUUUUUAUGUAUAUUCUUGAUCAUGUAUGGGAUUAAACAGGUUUACAGGUUUUAUGUCAGGCUUGCUACGGGUUCCGGCGGCCUUAAGCCGACCUGGAUCCUAGCGCCGGUAGCGGUCCGAU